rnacentral:lncRNA from 1 species
CUCCUCCGCUGAUGAAGUAAUUCAUUAUGAUGAAAAGAAGUUUACAAAAGAAAAAAAGAAUCUCUACUAAUCAAUGCUCCAGAAGAGAGCCAAUAGCGAGCUCAAACAAUAUAUAAAUUUCUUAAAACGAGUAGCAAUGUUAAUAGAAAAUGAAAUUACAACACUACUUCUUCCACUUAAUUUGUUAGUAAAUCUUCCAUACGAAAGAAUGUAAAAAACAUCACUGAAGAACAGGUUUAGUAGGUAGAUUAGAUAGAAUUUGACAUUAUAAAAAAGAAAAAUACAGUAAAAUUUUGUUCGUGGUACUAUCAGUAUUGUGUAAUACUGCAUAUCAAAACGUGUCCAACUCGUGUUUAAAGCUUCUGUGGAAGUUGCAAAAAGAUCAGCUAAUCCAUUAAAAUCAACAAACAAACCUGUUAAACCAUGAUAAAUUGAAGGUUGGUAAGGCAUGAACGUACACUCAGCUGAACAUCAACGAAGCAUUCAUUCGGGCACACCAAAUUAUACAUAUAAAUGAUGUGUAGCUCGAUGGCUUAAAUUAAGAAAUUAUGGUAAGAGAUCAACCCUAAGAAUUAUUGGCAAACCCUAAAACAAGAUCAGGUAAAAGGGUUUCCAAAAGUAAAGAAAUCUUUUCAUAAUACAAAUAAAAGACACAGAUCCAUAAAGGAUGUGCCUUAGACAACACCCAAACAAAGUAAAAAUCCCACACGAAGCAAGAUACAAACCAGAAAUAGAGAGAUCUUCUUUCGAUAAACUGAUGGAAAGACACAGACACACCUGCAUACAAUAUUGACCUCUUAAUUUGUCUACAAGAUUCAUAACCCUUUUCUCUUAUAUAAUAUCUAGUCAACAAGAUCGAUCUAAAAGGAAAGAAAGAGGAGAAGUAAGAAAGAAACUUAUUAAUUUGCUUGAUCUAGCAAACAAACCGGACCGUGAUGCUUGAUUCCCCAUAAAGAAAAACACUUCGAAUUUCGUGAGUGAAGAAAAAGCCCUUUUUUCACUUCAAACCUUGAGUUUUUCUUGUACCUUUUUCUUCAUCGUCGUCAGAUAAAGGUCCAACUUCCAAAUCCUUUUCAGUAUUACCCUUCUUUUUCUUCUUCUUGUUCUUUGUCUUUGGUGAUGAUAAUGAUAGUGUCGCUGAUUUUAGUUUGUGGGCGUAAUGAUGGCUGCGAAGAAUGUGAGUAAAUGCUGGCGGGGCAGACGAGAACAUGGUGAUUAUGAUGACUGCUUUUGAGUUGUGGCGUUGAAUGUGAGAGAGAAAGUAAGAGAGAAGGAGAAAUUAGAAUAGAAAGAUAAAAGGCUCUAUCUUUCAAUGUUUUUCGUGCAGUUUCUUAAUUUAUCUUUGAUUGUUCAGAGAAUUUGCUGUGUUUUUUGAUAAAGAGAGAACAGACACAAUGUGGCAAGAAUUAUUAGCAUUCAUCAAACUUAGGACUCCUUUUACCUUAAAAUAAUGAAGUUGUGCAGCUGUGUUGACAUUUUACCCUCUUUCUUUUGGUAAAAUUUACAA